rnacentral:rRNA from 1 species
UACGGGGGGGGUAAGCGUUGUUCGGAAUUACUGGGCGUAAAGGGCUCGUAGGCGGCCAACUAAGUCAUACGUGAAAUCCCUCAGCUUAACUGGGGAACUGCGUGUGAUACUGGAUGGCUUGGAUGUGGGAGAGGGAUGCGGAAUUCCAGGUGGUAGCGGUGAAAUGCGUAGAUAGUCUGGAGGAACACCGGUGGCGAAGGCGGGUCU